rnacentral:rRNA from 1 species
GUUGCCAUAUUGAAAAACAUCCGUAUAUACAUAUAUCGCAAUACAUGUCUGUAUAUAUAUGUCGUGAAGUAAAAAAUGCAGAUACUUAGCGUGCAUCGAAAUACAGUACCACAAGGACGACCAUGCAUGGAAGAGCACGACGAUUAUUACAUGGACACACUUAAACAAGCCAGCAUUUUCCACGCAUGCUAGUACUACGUUUCAAGCAACAAGUGAUGCACGGGCACGUUUGGUUGGAUUGCUUGGGUAGGCUAUAGCUAAGCUAGCCCAGCUAGCUCAACUCAGCUUUGCCAGCCUUGCCUUGGGUGCCCGUUUGGUUAUUUGCUUUUGCUGGAGUAUAAAAAUAAAGGCGUAUGUUCCAGUACAAAACUACUCGUGCCAUACACUCCGCAAUGCAUUAACUCCUGCCAUAAGUCUCCGUAAUUAAAGUUCCACGUGGAUUAUUUUAGCGCCAUGUGAUUUUGCCAUCGAGAGCGAGCCAAAUUGGCUCUCCCUAAUGAGCAAGGAUUUCCUCGCCGAUCCAGGGGCGCUGAUAGGCGCCGGCGCACCGGCCGAACAGUUGGGCCGGUCAUCGCGCGAUCGUCCGAUUCAGCAUAUUUGACCCGUUCGAUCUGGGUCUCAUAACAGAAAAAAAAAGUUGCAUCGUGCUUUGCUUUCGAUCUCGGUUCCUCCUUCCUCGUGGGAAGGCAGCGCCGCCGCCGCGGCCUGCGGCAGGCGCUCGCGUCUCGCCGGUCCCCGCCCUUGCCGCCGAUCGCCGCCCCUCGCCGCCGGUUGCCGCCCCUCACCGUCGUCGUCGUCUCCUGUGUUUCUCGCCGACUCUGGAGCCAUGCAUGGAUGUAGCAAAAAGCUCCGCUGGUCGUAGCAAAACGCGAAGGCGGUUGCAACAAAAAAUGUCGGUUCCAGCAAAAAAACCUCAGCAGCAGAAAACCAUGGCUCGGAGCCAACAGCGGUAGUAGCAAAUCUUUGUGUUAGUUCCAACAAAACCAAAAACAGUGGAAACAAAAAUGCAAAAAUGGGGCCUUUGUGGAAGGAUGUUCUAGCAAAAUCAAAGACACCGAUGGUAGCAAAAAUUGAAACUGGUUGCAGCAAAUUAAAACACCAUUUGUAGAAGUAGCAAAUUUGGGCGUUCUUCCAGCAAAAAGCGAAUGCGACAGUUGUAGCAAAAAUUAAAGCUGGUUCCAGCAAAUCAAAACACCGGUUGUAGCAAAGUGCAAAAAAUGACGUCGGUGCUAGCAAACCAAAGUGCCGAUGGUAGCAAAAAUUAGUGCUGGUUCCAGCACCGCCAUGAGCCGGUUCCAGCAAUGGGCGUCGUUGAAGUCGAACCACCGGUGGGCUCUCCUGUCCACGGCGCCGAAGGCUUCUCCCGUCCACAACACCAGUCGAUGCCCCGUCGUAGCACCGGUGCUGAAGCUUCGCGGCAGUCGCCGUUGGAUGGUCGUCGCAGCCCCGCCCGCUUGUGGCAGCUCUGGCGGCUUGAGGUGGAAGGAGGGGGAGAGGUGGGGAGCGCCGAUGGUGAGGGAGGCGGAGGAAGGAGAGGGAGAGGUGGGCAGCACCGAUGGGGAGGGGAGGUGGAGGAAGGAGAAGGAGUGGUGGGUAGCCGCGGUGGGGAAUUGUGGCCAGAACGC